GGGAUUUCUUUUUGCCAGGUGCUGGCUCAUUAAUGGGCAUCUUGAUGGACUCCUCAUAAUUGGCCACCACGAUGGAGCGCAGAGAGCUGUAUUCUGUGUGCACCUGUGUGUCAUCUACAGACCAGAAACGGUGGAACUGCAGAUUCUUCAGGGCUCCCGCAUGAUUUUGGCACCCUGUUCCCGGGCUUUCUACAAAGAAGAUGGAUCUCAGAGGCAACCCGGGUCGCCCAGCUCCUCCUCCAAGCUGACACCUGCUGCUGUUCCAGCCUCAUCACAGCCGUGUGGAGCUAAAAUCAGGUGAAAUCACUGCACUCGGUGAACUGGGCAGAUUUGGGACACCCCUCUGUGGAGCAUAUGCUGUGAAAGCAUUACGAAUGCUGCUGGACUGUCUGGUUGUUGGCAGAUGUCUGUGAUGAAAGGUUUGCUUUCUGAUGGUACAAGUUAAAACCCAGCUGCUGAUUGGCUAUUUCUGGUGCAGACUUGCUGCAUUCCUAAUUGAGACUCCUGCCCAAAACAGGAGGUUGGGCGAGGGCAUGUCACAAGGACUGUGACCCUCCCACCCACUCCUGACAGAUGGGGGACAUCUCAGGGCUGUGGAUUGUGUAUUUGACUUUUUGUUUAGCUCUAAUUUCCAUCAAUAAACUCAUGGCCUGACUCUCCUUUCUGGCUUUCUCCUGCACGCACCUUAGUGGGGCUGUCUGCUAAAUGCAGCUGUCCCCCAAUAGACAUUAUCUUUUCUAGGGGACUCAUCAGAUCCAUGCUCAGGGCAAAAGGGGUGGAGAGUCAUAUAAGUCCAUUUUGAACAUUUUUGAAAAAAACAUUUUUGCCCUAUUUCCUGAACCUAAUGAGUCUUCCUGGAUAAGUUGCAUUAAAAUGUUGUGGGUUUUUUCCUGUGAAAAUGCUUUUGUCUUUCUUGUGUAGAACCCUUCCAGACAAAGGCCUGGGUGAGGAUAGGGAGUGACUGAAAAAGAAUUAAAGUUUUAAUUACUGAA